AGUACGCGUGGGAAUAUGCCCUUCUCUACGGAAUAGCCUCGGGAAACUGGGAGUAAUACCGUAUACGCCCUACGGGGGAAAGAUUUAUCGGAGAAGGAUUAGCCCGCGUUGGAUUAGGUAGUUGGUGGGGUAAUGGCCUACCAAGCCUACGAUCCAUAGCUGGUUUGAGAGGAUGAUCAGCCACACUGGGACUGAGACACGGCCCAGACUCCUACGGGAGGCAGCAGUGGGGAAUCUUAGACAAUGGGGGAAACCCUGAUCUAGCCAUGCCGCGUGAGUGAUGAAGGCCUUAGGGUUGUAAAGCUCUUUCAGCUGGGAAGAUAAUGACGGUACCAGCAGAAGAAGCCCCGGCUAACUCCGUGCCAGCAGCCGCGGUAAUACGGAGGGGGCUAGCGUUGUUCGGAAUUACUGGGCGUAAAGCGCACGUAGGCGGACCGGAAAGUUGGAGGUGAAAUCCCAGGGCUCAACCUUGGAACUGCCUUCAAAACUAUCGGUCUGGAGUUCGAGAGAGGUGAGUGGAAUUCCGAGUGUAGAGGUGAAAUUCGUAGAUAUUCGGAGGAACACCAGUGGCGAAGGCGGCUCACUGGCUCGAUACUGACGCUGAGGUGCGAAAGCGUGGGGAGCAAACA
rnacentral:rRNA from 1 species